GGAGAGGGCUAUGGCUUAGUGGUAGUGUGCUUGCCUUGCACGCAGAAGGUCACAGGUUCAAUCCCUGGCAUCUCCA